rnacentral:rRNA from 1 species
CCUACGGGUGGCAGCAGUGAGGAAUAUUGGUCAAUGGGCUUACGCCUGAACCAGCCAAGUCGCGUGAGGGAAGACUGCCCUAUGGGUUGUAAACCUCUUUUGUCAGGGAGCAAUUUGCGCUACGUGUAGCGUUAUCGAGAGUACCUGAAGAAAAAGCAUCGGUUAACUCCGUGCCAGCAGCCGCGGUAAUACGGAGGAUGGGAGCGUUAUCCGGAUUGAUUGGGUUUAAGGGUAGCUUAGGCCGCAUGUCAAGCGUGCUGUGAAAUGUCCGGGCUGAACCCGGGCCGUGCAGGGCGAACUGGCGUGCUUGAGUCGGCGGAAAGCAGGCGGAAUGCGCAGUGUAGCGGUGAAAUGCUUAGAUAUGACGAAGAACCCCGAUUGCGAAGGCAGCUUGCUGCAGCGGAACUGACGCUGAUGCUCGAAAGCGCGGGUAUCGAACAGGAUUAGAUACCCGGGUAGUC